CGGCGACGGCAUCCCCUUCUCCUACAAUGACGGCGACGGCCUCCCCGACGAGUCCACUCUUCCUCCCCGCCACCGCCGCCGCCGUCGCUGACUCCUUCCUCUCCCGCAGAGAGAAGUGAGAUGGCUGGCUUGGAAGGUUUCGAGUUCUUCGAGAUCCUAAUUAAGAAAUCUUGCAGUAGGCAGGUAUAUUCAAGACAAUAUCUCCCCUUCACCCAUCUCUUUAUCAUCACUCUGCUGUCUAGUGCUUGAUUGGCACAAUUAACCACUGCUUGACCCUUGCUGCACAGGCUACCUGACAAGUUUGCGAAGAUGCUCGCCGGUCGUGAGCCCCACAAAGUGAAGCUGAGGGGGGUCGGCAGCGGGCGUCGCAGGCUGUGGGAUGUGUUGGUGGUGUUCGACGGCAAAAGGCCACAUGUACCUAGGGCUCGGCUGGGAGAUGUUCGACAACACCAUGUGCCGCAUGUACUACCAGCACGACGACGAUCCCAGCAAUGGGAGCAGCAGCGGGGAUGACGAGGAGUAGAGUGGGCAAGAAGAGGAGCAGAGCAGGGAUGAUGAGGAGCAGUGCGGGGAAGAAGAGGAGCAGAGCGGGGAGGUGCAGCCUAUUCUGGCUGACGACGAUCUUGCUAUGGUGGUGGCUAACGUCGACCCUGCAAUGGUGGUGGCUGACGACGACCUCGCAAUUGUGGUGCCUGACGCUGACCUCAUGAUGGUGGUGCCUAACGAUGACCUCGCGAUGGUGGUGGCGCCAGCGAUCCCACAGCUGGGCAACAGGACCAUGCUAAUUGUGGUAGAGGAGUACAUUCGCCUCCACAUUCGCCACUCUGAGUGCAUCAGGACAAUGAAGGAGAAUAAGGAGAAGAACGAGUGAAGAUGUUAAGAAUAUAAGCUUGUUAAGCAUGUUAAUCUGAACAUGUCAAUGUUUAGUAUGUCAAGUUUAAGCUUGUUAGUGUAAACCUCUUAAGUAUGACAAUGUCAGCCAAGCUUAGUUUGAAAUUGAUGAGCUUUGAAAUUUCGUGCGCCCAUGGAUGCUCAACUAUGAAUAUUCUGUUUCUUAAUUAUGAAUAUUCAUUUUGGUAAUUGAUGGGAAUUGAUAUUUUGUGCAUGCUCAUGGAUGAAAUAUGAAAUUAUGGGUUUUUGUGCAUGCUCAUGUAUGAAACAAUAUAAGUUUUCAUUUUGUGAUUGUCAAAAACAUGUUUUUUCCUUCAGAUUGUUCAUUAAGAAUCAACAACAUUAUGUAACAAUAUAAGUUUCAUGCUCAAGUAUGACAGUGUCAUCUAAACAUGGUUUUUCAUAAA